rnacentral:rRNA from 1 species
UAUAUAUAUAUAUAUAUUGCAUAUAUGUAUCAUAUGUAAAUGAAAGUAAUAGCAUGUAUUUGAUUAGCAAUGCGAUCGAUUUGGGAUACCUUCGGGACCCGUCUUGAAACACGGACCAAGAAGUCUAACAUGUGUGCAAGUCAUUGGGUAUAUUAUGAUGAAACCUAAAGGCGAAAUUAAAAUAACUAUAAUGGGAUUACAAGUGAUAUUAUAUGUAUAUAUGUCAUGUAUAUAUGUAUUUAAAUGAUCACUUCUCCAUCCCGGGGCGUUCUAUAUUGAACAUGUUUUAAGCAAUUAAAUCCACUGUUCAAGAGCGUACCUUGAGCAUACAUGCUGUGACCCGAAAGAUGGUGAACUAUACCUGAUCAGGUUGAAGUCAGGGGAAACCCUGAUGGAGGACUGAAGCAGUUCUGACGUGCAAAUCGAUUGUCAGAAUUGGGUAUAGGGGCGAAAGACCAAUCGAACCAUCUAGUAGCUGGUUCCCUCCGAAGUUUCCCUCAGGAUAGCUGGUGCAAUAAGAGAAACUUUUGAUAUAUAAUCUUAUCUGGUAAAGCGAAUGAUUAGAGGCCUUGGGGCCGAAACGACCUUAACCUAUUCUCAAACUUUAAAUGGGUAAGAACCUCAUCUUUCUUGAUCUGAAGAUAUAGAGGUUUAGAUAUAUUGUGCCCAGUGGGCCACUUUUGGUAAGCAGAACUGGCGCUGUGGGAUGAACCAAACGUGAUGUUACGGCGCCUAAAUUAAUGACUCAUAUUGAUACCAUGAAAGGCGUUGGUUGCUUAAAACAGUAGGACGGUGGACACGGAAGUUGUAAUCCGCUAAGGAGUGUGUAACAACUCACCUGCCGAAGCAACUAGCCCUUAAAAUGGAUGGCGCUCAAGUCAUAUGCCUAUACAUUACCGCUAGAAUAAAAAAAAUUUCAAUUCCAUUUGAAAAAUUUGUGAAAUUCUAGUGAGUAGGAGGGUACAAUGGUGUGCGCAGAAAUGUUUGGCGUGAGCCUGCAUGGAGCCGCCAUUGGCACAGAUCUUGGUGGUAGUAGCAAAUAAUCGAAUGAGAUCUUGGAGGACUGAAGUGGAGAAGGGUUUCGUGUGAACAGUGGUUGAUCACGAGUUAUUCGGUCCUAAGCUCUAUGCGAAAGCUGUUUAAUUUAUGUU